GGCAGGCCUAAUACAUGCAAGUCGAGGGGUAAUUCUGCUUUCGGGCAGGAACGACCGGCGAACGGGUGCGUAACGCGUAUGCAACCUACCCACAACUGAGGGAUAGCCCGGAGAAAUUCGGAUUAAUACCUCAUAAUGCAGGGGUACCGCAUGGUACUAUUUGCUAAAGAUUUAUUGGUUGUAGAUGGGCAUGCGUCUGAUUAGUUAGUUGGUGAGGUAACGGCUCACCAAGACGACGAUCAGUAGGGGUUCUGAGAGGAUGAUCCCCCACACUGGUACUGAGAUACGGACCAGACUCCUACGGGAGGCAGCAGUAGGGAAUAUUGGUCAAUGGGCGAGAGCCUGAACCAGCCAUGCCGCGUGCAGGAUGACGGCCUUCUGGGUUGUAAACUGCUUUUAUCAGGGAAGAAAAGGGUGAUGCGUCACCGAUUGACUGUACCUGAAGAAUAAGCACCGGCUAACUCCGUGCCAGCAGCCGCGGUAAUACGGAGGGUGCAAGCGUUGUCCGGAUUUAUUGGGUUUAAAGGGUGCGUAGGCGGAUUAUUAAGUCAGUGGUGAAAGUCUUCAGCUCAACUGAAGAAGUGCCAUUGAUACUGGUAGUCUUGAGUACAGUAGAGGUAGGCGGAAUUUAUGGUGUAGCGGUGAAAUGCAUAGAUACCAUAAAGAACACCGAUAGCGUAGGCAGCUUACUAUACUGUAACUGACGCUGAGGCAC
rnacentral:rRNA from 1 species